rnacentral:rRNA from 1 species
AUACGGAGGGUCCGAGCGUUAUCCGGAAUCAUUGGGUUUAAAGGGUCCGUAGGCGGGAAUCUAAGUCAGUGGUGAAAUCUUGCAGCUCAACUGUAAAAUUGCCAUUGAUACUGGAUUUCUUGAAUUAGUGUGAAGUGAUUAGAAUGUGUAGUGUAGCGGUGAAAUGCAUAGAUAUUACACAGAAUACCAAUUGCGAAGGCAGAUCACUAACACUAUUUUGACGCUGAGGGACGAAAGCGUGGGGAGCGAACAGGAUUAGAAACCCGAGUAGUCC